rnacentral:rRNA from 1 species
GCGGCGGACGGGUGAGUAAUGCCUAGGAAUCUGCCUGGUAGUGGGGGACAACGUUUCGAAAGGAACGCUAAUACCGCAUACGUCCUACGGGAGAAAGCAGGGGACCUUCGGGCCUUGCGCUAUCAGAUGAGCCUAGGUCGGAUUAGCUAGUUGGUGAGGUAACGGCUCACCAAGGCUACGAUCCGUAACUGGUCUGAGAGGAUGAUCAGUCACACUGGAACUGAGACACGGUCCAGACUCCUACGGGAGGCAGCAGUGGGGAAUAUUGGACAAUGGGCGAAAGCCUGAUCCAGCCAUGCCGCGUGUGUGAAGAAGGUCUUCGGAUUGUAAAGCACUUUAAGUUGGGAGGAAGGGCAUUAACCUAAUACGUUAGUGUUUUGACGUUACCGACAGAAUAAGCACCGGCUAACUUCGUGCCAGCAGCCGCGGUAAUACGAAGGGUGCAAGCGUUAAUCGGAAUUACUGGGCGUAAAGCGCGCGUAGGUGGUUUGUUAAGUUGAAUGUGAAAGCCCCGGGCUCAACCUGGGAACUGCAUCCAAAACUGGCAAGCUAGAGUAUGGCAGAGGGUGGUGGAAUUUCCUGUGUAGCGGUGAAAUGCGUAGAUAUAGGAAGGAACACCAGUGGCGAAGGCGACCACCUGGGCUAAUUACUGACACUGAGGUGCGAAAGCGUGGGGGAGCAAACAGGAUUAGAUACCCUGGUAUUCCCACGCCGUAAACGAUGUCGACUAGCCGUUUGGGAUCCUUUGAGAUCUUAGUGGCGCAGCUUAACGCAUUAAGUCGACCGCCUGGGGAGUACGGCCGCAAGGGUUAAAACU